GGGGUAGUAGCUCAAUGGAAGAGCAUGGGAUUGCAGAUCCCGGGGUUGUUGGUUCGAGUCCAGCUUGACCCC
rfam:Trichomonas vaginalis G3, whole genome shotgun sequence.